rnacentral:rRNA from 1 species
CACGUAGGGUGCGAGCGUUGUCCGGAAUUAUUGGGCGUAAAGAGCUCGUAGGCGGUGUGUCGCGUCGGCCGUGAAAACCUGCAGCUUAACUGUGGGCUUGCGGUCGAUACGGGCAUCACUGGAGUUCGGCAGGGGAGACUGGAAUUCCUGGUGUAGCGGUGGAAAUGCGCAGAUAUCAGGAGGAACACCGGUGGCGAAGGCGGUCUCUGGGCCAUACUGACGCUGAGGAGCGAAAGUCGGUGGGCGAACAGGAUUAGAACCUUACCUAGUCAAGAUCCAAGAUCCAGUCUGUCAC